AAUGGAGGCAACUCUGAUCCAGCCAUCCCGCGUGAAGGAUGAAGGUCCUCUGGAUUGUAAACUUCUUUUCUCUGGGAAUAAAAACUCCGAUUUACUCGGAGCUUGAAGGUACCAGAGGAAUAAGCACCGGCUAACUCCGUGCCAGCAGCCGCGGUAAUACGGAGGGUGCAAGCGUUAUCCGGAUUCACUGGGUUUAAAGGGUGCGUAGGUGGUCUUGUAAGUCAGUGGUGAAAUACCGCAGCUCAACUGCGGAACUGCCAUUGAUACUGCUUGACUUGAAUUAGGUUGAGGUGGAUGGAAUAUUACAUGUAGCGGUGAAAUGCUUAGAUAUGUAAUAGAACACCGAUUGCGAAGGCAGUUCACUAAACCUAUAUUGACACUGAGGCACGAAAGCGUGGGGAUCAAA
rnacentral:rRNA from 1 species